AUUGAAUAUUGUAAAGCACUGCGGAAUAAGUUGGCGCUAAUGAAAUGCCAGUAAUAAUAAUAAUAACUGGAACAUUUAUAUAUUUAUUUAUUGAUACAUUAUUUACGAGGAAGGAUAUAUUAAGAUUUGCAUUUCGAAAGAAAACUAAAAUACUCAAAUGCAAAAACCAGACCACUCUGCAGAGUAUCCAUCCUAGCAGAAAAUAAGUGAAAAAACUACUACUAAUAAUGCGUGUUCUCUUUGUAAAUAGCUAUCAUUCUUGACUCAAUGUCAAACAGAUACUGAUUAAUACAACGUCACUAGUUUGGAUAUAAAUCUCAGUAUCAACAUCAGGUUUUUUUUUAUUUAGUUCUCUGGAGAAAGCCAAAGCGACACAUAUUGUCUGUGACAGUGCAUUGAAAUUAGCGUGGAUUGUGUAGAAGGUGGCAUUGUACCAGGCACUGAUUGGGGUAUUUAGUGGAUUGACAUCCUACAUGUGGAACUGAAAUGGGAUCGGAUAUUUCUGUUACUGUUUCACCUUCAUCUGUAACAAUUCAGUGAAAAUGUUAAUUUUUUUUAACAUAUAAUUAACAUUCCCUUUUCUGUGUGAACGUAUGACAAACGCUCCAUCAAUAUGUAGAUUCGUACAUUCUAGUAAGCAAACAGCAAACAAAAG